GGGCAGUUAGCUCAGCGGUAGAGCGUCUCCUUUACACGGAGAGGGUCGGGGGUUCAAUCCCCUCACUGCCCACCA
rnacentral:tRNA from 1 species